UACGUAGGGUGCAAGCGUUGUCCGGAAUUACUGGGCGUAAAGAGCUCGUAGGUGGUUUGUCACGUCGUCUGUGAAAUUCCACAGCUUAACUGUGGGCGUGCAGGCGAUACGGGCUGACUUGAGUACUGUAUGGGGUAACUGGAAUUCCUGGUGUAGCGGUGAAAUGCGCAGAUAUCAGGAGGAACACCGAUGGCGAAGGCAGGUUACUGGGCAGUCACUGAC
rnacentral:rRNA from 1 species